rnacentral:rRNA from 1 species
AUUGAACGCUGGCGGCAGGCUUAACACAUGCAAGUCGAGCGGAAACGAAGAGGAGCUUGCUCCUUUGGCGUCGAGCGGCGGACGGGUGAGUAAUGCUUGGGAAUAUGCCUUUUGGUGGGGGACAACGAGUUGGAAACGACUAGCUAAUACUGCACAAUGUUUACGGACCAAAGCGGGGACCUUCGGGGCCUCGUGCCAAAAGAUUAGCCCAAGUGAGAUUAGCUAGUUGGUAAGUAAUGGCUUACCAAGGCGACGAUACUCUAGCUGGUUUGAGAGGUAUGAUCAGCCACACUGGGACUGAGACACGG